rnacentral:rRNA from 1 species
AUUGAACGCUGGCGGCAUGCCUUACACAUGCAAGUCGAACGGCAGCAUGAUCUAGCUUGCUAGAUUGAUGGCGAGUGGCGAACGGGUGAGUAAUACAUCGGAACGUGCCCUGUAGUGGGGGAUAACUAGUCGAAAGAUUAGCUAAUACCGCAUACGACCUGAGGGUGAAAGUGGGGGACCGCAAGGCCUCAUGCUAUAGGAGCGGCCGAUGUCUGAUGAGCUAGUUGGUGAGGUAAAGGCUCACCAAGGCGACGAUCAGUAGCUGGUCUGAGAGGACGAUCAGCCACACUGGGACUGAGACACGGCCCAGACUCCUACGGGAGGCAGCAGUGGGGAAUUUUGGACAAUGGGCGAAAGCCUGAUCCAGCAAUGCCGCGUGUGUGAAGAAGGCCUUCGGGUUGUAAAGCACUUUUGUCCGGAAAGAAAUGGCUCUGGUUAAUGCCUGGGGUCGAUGACGGUACCGGAAGAAUAAGGACCGGCUAACUACGUGCCAGCCGCCGCUGUAA